CUAGCAGCAGACCAGAUUCCAGCAGCAAUUUCUUGAAAUGUGAGCACAAGGAUAUGGAGAAAACAUUUUGGGGAAUGCAACUGCUAGACUAUCCUUGGUUCAGACAACUGUUGUGGCCCAUGAGGAAAGAGCAGAAGCUAAUAACGAAAGGCAGCCAGCCUUGAUUUGAUGACAUUGAGAGACGGUGAAUCCUCCACUUCUCUUG